CCUACGGGAGACAGCAGUGAGGAAUAUUGGUCAAUGGGCUUACGCCUGAACCAGCCAAGUCGCGUGAGGGAAGACUGCCCUAUGGGUUGUAAACCUCUUUUGUCAGGGAGUAAUUGGCGCUACGUGUAGCGUUAUCGAGAGUACCUGAAGAAAAAGCAUCGGCUAACUCCGUGCCAGCAGCCGCGGUAAUACGGAGGAUGCGAGCGUUAUCCGGAGUUAUUGGGUUUAAAGGGUGCGGAGGCGGAUUUUUAAGGCAGCGGUAAAAUGUCCGGGCUCAACCCGGGCCGGCCGUUGAAACUGGGGAUCUUGAGUGGGCGAGAAGUAUGCGGAAGUCGUGGUGUAGCGGUGAAAUGCAUAGAUAUCACGCAGAACUCCGAUUGCGAAGGCAGCAUACCGGCGCCCGACUGACGCUGAGGCACGAAAGCGUGGGGAUCGAACAGGAUUAGAUACCCGAGUAGUC
rnacentral:rRNA from 1 species